CUCUCUUUGACUAAACUGGCCUCAGGUGAGGUUGACAGUUUUUGAUUUAUGUGAUGCAUGAAGGACCAUGUCUUUCAGCAGGUGCUGCUCUGAUCAUUCUUUCUCCAAAAGUGUUUUUAAAUCUUUGUCAAAUGCAACUGAACUUAUAUUUGGUGGUGGUUUUUAAUCAUCUUUUUGCAGCUGUAUUACUUUUUGAGAGCUAUGUUUUUUGGAUGGACAGACCGAGUUAUAAAUCUGAUGGCAGUCUAGGUCAGCGUCCAUGUGUUCACAAUGGCGGAGCCACAAGAUGCUAGGAGCCUGGAUCCCUGAAUCAUCACCUAAGCAGCGCCCUUGUGCCACUCAUUUAACUUUUUAUGAACAAGAAGUAAACUUUCUUGUGUUGUCACUGGUGUUUUAGGUUUAACUCUUAGAGUAGUAGCAUUACUUUGUCUCAUCCAUAAAUUGGUAAUUCGCAAUGGUGUAAGGAUAAAUGUGGCACUUCCCUAAUGUCAGGUGACAAAUGCUAAGAACCAGAGCACAUUGGUUUAGCCUUCAUAGAACACACGGGCCAUAAAAUUAGAACAAGAAAAUAGAGAUCUAUCGUAGUAGUCAUUACGGUUGUUCCCCAAUAUUUCCUCUUCUACACACAUAUGUUACACUUUCUGGUCCCUUAGUGGUUGGAUGAGGUUAUGGAACUAAUCCUGUCCCAUGGGCUACAAGUGAAAGCAACAUAACACUUCGGGACCAGAGCAUUAAAUAGCCACUGUUAGAUCCUUCAAAGUUCUCUUUUUCUCUACCACAAUGACUGGCCAUCUUCCUGAUAGUAGCUGUAAUGUCAUCUUUGAUCUCAGAGUAAAAAUGUUGCAAAGCAGAACUCAAAGCCACACUGUCCCUUGACACGUACUGUCAGUGAAAUAUCAACUUUUUUGUCUCAUUCCAUGUGGUAUGAGGAUGUUUGGUUCCAUAACAUUAUCUGCAGUAUACCCAGGCCAAAUAAUGGUAAUACACCUGGAAAAAAACUACUGUCUGUGACAACUUAGAAGCUGGAAGGUAGACUACAUACCCGCCAAGCUAAAACUCUAGAAGAACUUUCAGAUAGUGCGUUAGAAGGAUAUUGGUUCCAAUAGCUGCAUUUAGCAAGAUAUUAGGUAAAAAAUAGUUGAGCUCUGCAGGAUAUGGUCAUUUGACAAGCCAAAAUGAAGUGGAAUAGAGUGCAGAAAUUUUGCACCAGCAGAGUUGCAAAAGGUAGCUGAUUAUAAACUGAAAGUGCAAGCAAUGAACUCUAAGUGCUCAGUGAGAGUCCAUGAUGUGUAA
rnacentral:lncRNA from 1 species